UCUCCCCCUGCGGACACGCCCACCGGGGACAGCCAAUCAGCACCAAGGAGGGGGUUGGGGGGUUCUAGGUGAGGCAAUGAGGAGCUAAAAUGGCUUUGGGUGGGUUCUAGGUGAGCCAAUGAGGCGCCGAAGUGGCUUUGGGUGGUACUAGGUGAGCCAAUGAGGCGCCAAAGUGGCUUGGGGUGGGUUCUAGAUGAGGCAAUGAGGCGCCAAAGUGGAUUUUGGUGGGUUCUAGGUGAGCUUUGGUGGCCCCAAGACCUUCCAACCACCCAAUUAACCAGCUGAGUAAUUAACUGUCCACCCAAUUAACCAACCACCCAACCCGUUAAUCAACUACCCAACCAAUUAACCGUCCAAACCAUCAAUCUCAUUGGGUUCUGGAUGACCCCAUUGGGUUUGGGGUGUCCCCCUGGGUUCUAGGUGACCCAAUGGAUUCUGGAUGGGAUCGUUGGGUUCGGGGUGACCCCCUUGGGUUCGGGGUGACCCUGUUGGGUUCUGGGUGACCCCAUUGGGUUGUAAGUGCUCUCAUUGGGUUCCAAGUGACCCCAUUGGGUUCUGGGUGACCCUGUUGGGUUCUGGGUGACCCCAUUGGGUUCUAAGUGAUCUCAUUGGGUUGGAUUUGACCCCAUUGGGUUCGGUUGUCCCCAUUGGGUUCUAAGUGGCCCCAUUGGGUUCUGGGUGACCCAGUUGGGUUCUAAGUGCUCUCAUUGGGUUCAGGGUGACCCCAUUGGGUUCUGGGUGACUCUAGAGGUUCUGGGUGACCCCAUUGGGUUCUAAGUGCUCUCAUUGGGUUCUAAGCGGCCCCAUUGGGUUCUGGGUGACUCUGUUGGGUUCUAAGGGAUCUCAUUGGGUUCUGGGUGACCCCAUUGGGUUCUAAGCCACCCCAUUGGUCGGGGUGUACCUGGCUCUCCACCAGCAUGGCCAUGUCCACGAACAUGUCGUGCAGCUCGCGGA